GGGGAACCAGGACUUUUACUUUGAAAAAAUUAGAGUGCUCCAGGCAGGCCUAUGCUCGAAUACAUUAGCAUGGAAUAAUAGAAUAGGACGUGUGGUUCUAUUUUGUUGGUUUCUAGGACCGCCGUAAUGAUUAAUAGGGACAGUYGGGGGCAUCAGUAUUCAAUUGUCAGAGGUGAAAUUCUUGGAUCUAUUGAAGACUGACUACUGCGAAAGCAUUUGCCAAGGAUGUUUUCAUUGAUAAGGAACGAAAGUUAGGGGAUCGAAGACGAUCAGAUACCGUCGUAGUCUUAACUAUAAACUAUGCCGACUAGGGAUCGGACGAUGUUAUUUCUUGACGCGUUCGGCACCUUUCGAGAAAUCAAAGUGCUUGGGCUCCAGGGGGAGUAUGGUCGCAAGGCUGAAACUUAAAGAAAUUGACGGAAGGGCACCACCAGGGGUGGAACCUGCGGCUUAAUUUGACCCAACACGGGGAAACUCACCAGGUCCAGACACAGUGAGGAUUGACAGAUUGAGAGCUCUUUCUUGAUUCUGUGGGUGGUGGUGCAUGGCCGUUCUUAGUUGGUGGAGUGAUUUGCCUGCUUAAUUGCGAUAACGAACGAGACCU
rnacentral:rRNA from 1 species